rnacentral:rRNA from 1 species
AUUGAACGCUGGCGGCAGGCUUAACACAUGCAAGUCGAGCGGGGUGAUGGUGCUUGCACUAUCACUUAGCGGCGGACGGGUGAGUAAUGCUUAGGAAUCUGCCUAUUAGUGGGGGACAACAUCUCGAAAGGGAUGCUAAUACCACAUACGUCCUACGGGAGAAAGCAGGGGAUCACUUGUGACCUUGCGCUAAUAGGUGAGCCUAAGUCGGAUUAGCUAGUUGGUGGGGUAAAGGCCUACCAAGGCGACGAUCUGUAGAGGGCGUGAGAGGAUGAUCCGCCACACUGGGACUGAGACACGGCCCAGACCCCUACGGGAGGCAGCAGUGGGGAAUAUUGGACAAUGGGGGGAACCCUGAUCCAGCCAUGCCGCGUGUGUGAAGAAGGCCUUAUGGUUGUAAAGCACUUUAAGCGAGGAGGAGGCUCUUUUGGUUAAUACCCAAGAUGAGUGGACGUUACUCGCAGAAUAAGCACCGGCUAACUCUGUGCCAGCCGCCGCCGUAA